AGAGUUUGAUCCUGGCUCAGGAUGAACGCUGGCGGCGUGCCUAAUACAUGCAAGUCGAGCGAACAGACGAGGAGCUUGCUCCUCUGACGUUAGCGGUGGACGGGUGAGUAACACGUGGAUAACCUACCUAUAAGACUGGGAUAACUUCGGGAAACCGGAGCUAAUACCGGAUAACAUGUUGAACCGCAUGGUUCAACAGUGAAAGACGGUCUUGCUGUCACUUAUAGAUGGAUCCGCGCCGCAUUAGCUAGUUGGUAAGGUAACGGCUUACCAAGGCAACGAUGCGUAGCCGACCUGAGAGGGUGAUCGGCCACACUGGAACUGAGACACGGUCCAGACUCCUACGGGAGGCAGCAGUAGGGAAUCUUCCGCAAUGGGCGAAAGCCUGACGGAGCAACGCCGCGUGAGUGAAGAAGGUCUUCGGAUCGUAAAACUCUGUUAUUAGGGAAGAACAAAUGUGUAAGUAACUAUGCACGUCUUGACGGUACCUAAUCAGAAAGCCACGGCUAACUACGUGCCAGCAGCCGCGGUAAUACGUAGGUGGCAAGCGUUAUCCGGAAUUAUUGGGCGUAAAGCGCGCGUAGGCGGUUUUUUAAGUCUGAUGUGAAAGCCCACGGCUCAACCGUGGAGGGUCAUUGGAAACUGGAAAACUUGAGUGCAGAAGAGGAAAGUGGAAUUCCAUGUGUAGCGGUGAAAUGCGCAGAGAUAUGGAGGAACACCAGUGGCGAAGGCGACUUUCUGGUCUGUAACUGACGCUGAUGUGCGAAAGCGUGGGGAUCAAACAGGAUUAGAUACCCUGGUAGUCCACGCCGUAAACAAUGAGUGCUAAGUGUUAGGGGGUUUCCGCCCCUUAGUGCUGCAGCUAACGCAUUAAGCACUCCGCCUGGGGAGUACGACCGCAAGGUUGAAACUCAAAGGAAUUGACGG
rnacentral:rRNA from 1 species